AGCGCGGCUGCAGCGGGCGGCGGCGGCGGGAGCGCGGGGUGAGGAUGAGCUGCGCAGGGAGCUCGUCCGGAGCCGCAGCUACGGCAAGAAGCUCAACGCCAGCCUGGCAUCCUGCCGGGAGAGGGCGGACAGGCUGGAGGCCAAUGUGACAGCUCUGGGGGACGAGCUGCUGGCCCUGCGGCGCGAGCAAGCUGAGCUGGCCCGUGGCAAGGCAGCUCUGCAAGAGGAGCUGGCACGAGGCGAGGAGCGUGCGCUGGGGCUGCAGCAGCGGCUGGAGGA